AUGUCGGGCGCGCGGGGCGGUGGGCGCGUGGCCCCUCCUCCCAGCGAGCGCGCGGCAGCCGCGGCGGCGGCGGCGGCAGCGGGGGGGGGAGGAGGAGGAGGAGGCGAGGAGGCGGCGCCUGUGUCGGCGCUGGAGGUUGUGUCCUUCCUAGGGAAGCUGCUGUGCGCAGUCGCGGCGCUGAAGGCGGCUCUGUACCUGCUCCGCAGAGUGUGUCUAGCGAUGGCCUGGAAGUCGGGAGGCGCCAGCCACUCCGAGCUCAUCCACAACCUCCGCAAAAAUGGAAUAAUCAAAACAGACAAGGUAUUUGAAGUAAUGCUGGCUACAGACCGUUGCCACUAUGCAAAAUACAACCCUUAUAUGGAUUCUCCACAGUCUAUAGGUUUCCAAGCAACAAUUAGUGCUCCACAUAUGCAUGCAUAUGCUCUUGAACUUCUGUCUGAUCAGUUACAUGAAGGAGCCAAAGCACUUGAUGUAGGAUCUGGAAGUGGAAUCCUUACAGCAUGCUUUUCACGAAUGGUUGGUCCCAAAGGACAAGUUGUAGGAAUUGAUCAUAUCAAAGAACUAGUAGAUGACUCAAUAAAUAAUGUCAAAAAAGAUGACCCCACAUUGCUGUCUUCAGGAAGAGUGAAACUGAUUGUGGGAGAUGGAAGAAUGGGAUAUGCAGAAGAAGCUCCCUAUGAUGCCAUUCAUGUAGGAGCUGCAGCACCAGUUGUGCCCCAAGCACUUAUAGAUCAGUUAAAACCUGGCGGAAGAUUGAUAUUACCAGUUGGUCCUGCAGGGGGAAACCAGAUGCUCGAACAGUAUGACAAACUAGAAGAUGGCAGUGUCAAAAUGAAGCCUCUGAUGGGAGUGAUAUAUGUGCCUUUAACAGAUAAAGAGAAGCAGUGGUCCAGGUGGAAGUGAUUUUCUGUUCCACUUUCUUCUUCCACACACACGCAAGAUGAAUGAUGUAUCAAAAAGAGAAAGUCAGUGCUGCCUAAUGACAAGAAAAGUGGAGUGGAUCAAAAAGAGGAUGAAUUGUAAAAGCUACAUCAUCUUGACCCAAACAUAGUGUUACAGUGGACUGCUCAUCUCCAGUUCUAAAAGCUUUUUGAAAACCAACAGCAUUGCAGCUUGUUUUGGACUUCGUUAUACCGUUGUUAUCAGCAUGGAAAAGCGUGUGUUUGUUUUAUUUUUUUUAGAUGCUCAUGGCAAAUCUGAUAAAGAAAUGUUGGAAAGUUUUAUGCAGGCACUGUUUUAUUUAACAUGCCUUUAUUUUACUUUCACCUGUUCAAAGUGAAUGUCUGCUGAACUGCAGAUAAAGACCUAUAGCUUAUGAUCAUCUAAGAUUGAUGGGAGUACUUGAACACUCACUUCUCUUGGCUCCUGUGUCCCUUGGUAAAAAUGCUUCCAUGCACCUUAUGACACUACGUAGGUAAUACCAGGUUUUCAGUGCUCUGGUGUCUGCUAGAUGCUUCUAAAAGGAGAUCAACUUCCUUUUUAAGCUUUUGACACGAUGUCAUAGACUAGCAUGUAGUAGAUACAGUCAGCUGCUUUAUUACCUUAAAAUCAGGCAUUUGUAUAUAUUAAACCUCAAGACAUCAGAGGUGGGUGGCUGCUCUUAUCAAACAUUGCCAUCCAAGUUGGAUGUAAGAGAAGUGUCUAAAAAUGGAAAAUUGUUCUAAAAUUUAUGAAUUCUUCUAAAUUAAUUAGUCUUGAAAUUCUGUCCUGGUUUAUACCUCACUAUUGAUGUGAUGCACAUGAAUCUAAAUAUAAUUUAAGCUGUGUCCCAGUCACUGAACAACUCAGGCAAUGUUGCUUUGCCAAAUAAAAUUAAAAGCAAACAGUGGGGGUUGUGUGCAAGAUUGACAAGAUUGUGCUUGUUUGGAAGAUUAGGAUCAGUAUGUAGCACAACACUGAGAUAUGGAUUGCUAGAAUCUUCAUUUAAAAAAAAAAAAUCCAGUUUGGUUCUAAAAGUUGCUUUUUGCAGAGCCUUUUGCUGUACCAGCCUUCUUGGUUUCCUAACUGUGGUCACCCAGGGAAAAUUGUGGCUUUUUAGAAAGUGAUUUCUUAAUUGCUAUACAAGGAAAACAUUAUUCAUGCAGAAGGAAUUAUGAAUCCUGGACUUCUAAGUACAGACUGAGAUGCAACUCUUCAAUUUUUAUAUAGAAGAGUAGUGGGAAGACUACAGACUUUUUUUUUCUGCCCCAGGUUUUCUAGUUUGGUGCUGUAAAAUGCCAACAGCAAAUUGCAAAGCAGUACAGAAAGGUGAGCUGUUUUGGAAAAGGCAGGAAGUGUGUCCUGAGUCAUCUUCCUCAGAUUUGAGCAACCAGGAUUUAAAGUAAGCAGCAUGUUACCAUUUUUCUCUUUAAAAAAAAAAAGAUGAAUUAUAGAGUAAACCAACUUGUAUAAAGCAGUUGUGAUCACUACAAAAACAUGUGACUUCUUGUGAUGAAACAGCAAUAAUUAUGUGAUAGAAUUAAUCCCUGAAAGCAUAAAGGUAAAAAUUCAAAGGCCUCUGAAUAUGAAAGAGAAACAUUUUAAAUGACCUUCCUUUCAAGGGUCAGCUCUAUCCUGUUCUUGUGUAAAAGAUAUGUAUUACUUAAUUUAUUUAAAUGCUUGGAAGUUAAUGUGCCACCUCCUGAUCUGACUGCAGCCUGCGAGCACAUACACAAAAAUUAAACUUACAAAGGAAUUAGGAUAGUAAGUAUUCUAGAAAAUACAAAUCAGAAAAACCCACUUGCAUCUGACAAAUUUGUACUAACCCACAAAUCAACUGUGAAUCUAGUUCUUGGUGUUGAAGUGAAAUACCUUAAAUGAUGCAUGCUAAUGUGCAACGUUUUGGUCACUAUAAUUCAAUUUGAGUUCAGCUUUAUUUACAUCUUCUCACUAAUUUAAUCAGUUAAAUGAACGAUAGGAGCUCAACUGUAUCCAAAUUCUUGUUUCUGGACACAGUGUAAUAAGCUAGCCUAACUUGGAAGAGGUGGUAAAGCUGAGACCAGGAAACAACUUUUUUUUUCUUGAGAACCACUUCAGGAGGUGUAAGACUUUAGGGACCAAGGCUGGGGAUUAGCACACCCAUCCUACUGAAGGGGUUGAUGGUAAUCCAGGUAUUCAGACAGAAAGGAGUAUCCAGGAGUAGCAGUUAGAAACUGGAAAACUAAAGCCCCUCCAUGAUGGAGCAAUGGUUCUGAAGUAAAAACUUCUUGGAGAAGAGGACAAGUUGAAAUGCAGAAGAUUUGAAGAGCUUGAAUAAAUGCUGUGUGAACUGUCUGAAUUGCUUACUUUGCCAAAUAAAAAAAAAAAAA